GACGAACGCUGGCGGCGUGCUUAACACAUGCAAGUCGAACGGAAAGGCCCUGCUUUUGUGGGGUGCUCGAGUGGCGAACGGGUGAGUAACACGUGAGUAACCUGCCCUUGACUUUGGGAUAACUUCAGGAAACUGGGGCUAAUACCGGAUAGGAGCUCCUGCUGCACGGUGGGGGUUGGAAAGUUUCGGCGGUGGGGGAUGGACUCGCGGCUUAUCAGCUUGUUGGUGGGGUAGUGGCUUACCAGGGCUUUGACGGGUAGCCGGCCUGAGAGGGGGACCAGCGACAUUGGGACUGCGGGACGGACCAGACUCCUACGGGAGGCAGCAGUGGGGAAUAUUACGCAGUGGGCGGAAGCCAGAGGCAGAAACGCCGCGUGCGGGAUGACGGCCUACGGGUGGUAAACCGCUUUGGCAUGUGCCGAGGCGUGAGUGACGGUAAUGGGUCAAGAAGCACCGGCUAACUACGUG
rnacentral:rRNA from 1 species